rnacentral:lncRNA from 1 species
ACACUAAUACUAAUAUUAAUACUAAUAUGUCACGACCCAUUUUCAAAAUAGGUCAUGAUGGCGCCCGACACCACUGUCAGGCAAGCCGACGCGGAAGUAUAAUUAAGUUCUCAUUUUACUUUUACCAAAAUUAAGCGCAACAUAUCCUCCGGUUUAAAGUUGAGAUAGGAAAUGAUCAAUACUGUACUAAAGUGAUAAUACAACCCAAAAAUAAGUUUAUACUCGAGUGUGUGCCAAGACCUGGUGUCACAAGUAAUAGACAUCUAGUAGAAUAUACAAAAGAAUAUCUCUAUCCUACUGUCUGAGAUAGAAAAGACAUCAAAAGUAAGAAAAGACUCCAUCCGGCUGCUGAACGGCAUAGGAAGGAAGCAGCUCACCGUGGAAGUCUCGGUUUAUGAAUCAGGGGCGUGCACCAGACUGAUAGCCAGAUGUACCUGCCUCAGAUCCUGUACAAUAAAGUGAUUUAAGCUAAUUCAAUAAGCGGAGAAGGAUAUAUUCCACAUCAAUUUAAAGUCAUUUUUACACAUUGAUCAAAGAUACCAACACUUAAACCAAAUAUCAAAGAAGAGCAUGAAGACAUAAUAUUCAUAAGACAACAUGUAUUUCAGUUAGUUAAAGUUGGUUUCAAACAAAACAUUUUAAAACCAAUAAGCCGAUGCAAAGUCAUGGUGUAUAACAUGUCAUCUAAGAAUUCUAACAUAAAGUUCACUUAUGCUUGUAGCAGGAUAGAAUAGAAAAAGAGUCGCAACUUAUUCCAAGUUGUCUUAUUAAAAACAAAAGAAAAAUAAAAUAUACCAGAGUAUUGGAGAAAAUGACACACACAUUUCUGCAUUCCAAGCACAAAAUAGACUCCAAAUCAGUUUCUAAAGUCAGCAAAUGUACUCUAUAGAACAAAUAAUAUGGACACGAGUCAAACACCAUAGGAUCAAAAUAUAAAUUCCUAAGAGCAUGAUUUCUAAACACAUCUUUAUCUAGAAUUUCAGGAAUGCAUUUUUAAGAUAAUUAAAGUCUAAAACAUGAUUCUUAAAUACAACAUUUUUUAACAAAAAAGAGAAAAGAAACAGAAUGGGGUCAAAUAUUACCUCUUGUAGUGAAGCGAACCAGAGCUUCGACCUCGAAUCUACUCUCUCGUUAUGAACAGAUCCGAACCUCAAGUCGAAUGGGUUCGAGCACCUCUAUUGCGGCUAAAGUACACUGAGAUAUUAAAUAAAGUUUGAAAGCUCUUUCUGAGAGUUUCUAAGAGACGAGAAGAGUGAUAAGAGUAAGAAAAAUAGUAGUGUUUACAGUAGUGUUCGAGCGGCGGCUCCAACCUAUCUAAACCCACCCGGAUGUGAGUAUUUAUAAGAGAUGUAGAUCUAGGGUUCAUGUUUGGGCGGGAUUUUGCAAACUUCAAAUUUUGAGAAAUAGUCGUUGUGAGAGGUCAAAAUUGUGAUGCAAGAUAGCAGAAAAAGGGACUGACAUGGAUGGAUGAACAAAGAAAAGGGGUAAGGAACCCGUGACCCUCUCUUGUCUUCCAACGAAUCUUUGUGAAAAUUUUUGACUCGAGGAAGAGAGCAAAAUAGCUUCAAGUAGCUCCUGAAACUUUCAUGAAAAUGGUUAAACAAAGUCAUGUGAUGGUGAGGGGAGGUACAAAAUCGAUCAAAAAAUGGAAAGGAAAGUAAGAGAUGUGGUUGUUGCUUCUUAGAAGAAACAAAUAUGACCUAAUUUAUUUUUUAGGCUUUGAUGUUAGGUGAGGGAAAGAAAUCAGUUGGGCCCUGUGAAUUGGGUUACUGUUCUGGACCGAAAUGCAAGACUUUUAGGGGUGUUAAAAUUCAAACAACCUAUUUCAAUGGGCCGAAAUCAGUGGGUAUUUUGGACUUGGUUUGGAUUCCUUUCUUCUAUUUGAUGUGCUUCUUUAUUAGACUUAAUAAGUCUUCCGAAUGUAUUAUAUAAUAAGAAAAUUUAAAAAAAAUUAUUAGUAGGAAUAGUAAUAUUAUUAACAAUAACAAUUGUAGCAAUAGAAAUAGUAUAAUGAAUUAGUAAUACUAAUAAUACUAACAAUAAGAAUAGUAAUAAUAAUAGUGGUAGUGAUAAAAUAAUGAUAAUAAUAGUACCAAGAAUAAUAAUAAUAAUAGCGAUAAUAGUAGUAGUAGUAGUAGUAAUAAUAAUAAUAAUAAUAAUAAUUUAUCAAUAUUAACACUAAUACUAAUAUUAAUACUAAUAUGUCACGACCCAUUUUCAGAAUAGGUCAUGUUGGCGCCCGACACUACUGUCAAGCAAGCCGACGCGGAAGUAUAAUUAAGUUCUCAUUUUACUUUUACCAAAAUUAAGCGCAACAUAUCCUCCGGUUUAAAGUUGAGAUAGGAAAUGAUCAAUACUGUACCAAAGUGAUAAUACACCCCAAAAAUAAGUUUCUACUCGAGUGUGUGUCAAGACCUGGUAUCACAAGCAAUAGACAUCUAGUAGAAUAUACAAAAGAAUAUCUCUAUCCUACUGUCUAAGAUAGAAAAGACAGCAAAAAUAAGAAAAGACUCCAUCCGGCUGCUGAACGGCAUAGGAAGGAAGCAGCUCACCGUGGAAGUCUCGGUUUAUGAAUCAGGGUUGUGCACCAGACUGAUAGUCAGAUGUACCUGCCUCAGAUCCUGUAUAAUAAAGUGAUUUAAGCUAAUUCAAUAAGCGGAGAAGGAUAUAUUCCACAUCAAUUUAAAGUCAUUUUUACACAUUGAUCAAAGAUACCAACACUUAAACCAAAUAUCAAAGAAGAGCAUGAAGACAUAAUAUUCAUAAGACAACAUGUAUUUCAGUUAGUUAAAGUUGGUUUCAAACAAAAUAUUUUAAAAACAAUAAGCCGAUAUAAAGUCAUGGUGUAUAACAUGUCAUCUAAGAAUUCUAACAUAAAGUUCACUUAUGCUUGUAGCAGGAUAGAAUAGAAAAAGAGUCGCAACUUAUUCCAAGUUGUCUUAUUAACAACAAAAGAAAAAUAAAAUAAAUCAGAGUAUUGGAGAAAAUGACACACACAUUUCUGCAUUCCAAGCACAAAAUAGACACCAAAUCAGUUUCUAAAGUCAGCAAAUGUACUCUAUAGAACAUAUAAUAUGGACACGAGUCAAACGCCAUAGGAUCAAAAUAUAAAUUCCUAAGAGCAUGAUUUCUAAACACAUCUUUAUCUAGAAUUUCAGGAAUGCAUUUUUAAGAUAAUUAAAGUCUAAAACAUGAUUCUUAAAUACAACAUUUUUUAACAAAAAGAGAAAAGAAAUAGAACGGGGUUGAAUAUUACCACUUGUAAUGCACCGAACCAUAGCUUCGACCUCGAAUCUACUCUCUCGUUAUGAACAGAUCCGAACCUCGAAUCGAAUGGGUUCGAGCACCUCUAUUGCGGCUAAAGUACACUGAGAUAGUAAAUAAAGUUUGAAAGCUCUUUCUGAGAGUUUCUGAGAGACGAGAAGAGUGAUAAGAGUAAGAAAAAUAGUGGUGUUUACAGUAGUGUUCGAGCGGCGGCUCCAACCUGUCUAAACCCACCCGGAUGUGAGUAUUUAUAGGAGAUGUAGAUCUAGGGUUCAUGUUUGGGCGGGAUUUUGCAAACUUCAAAUUUUGAGAAAUAGUCGUUGUGAGAGGUCAAAAUCGUGAUGCAAGAUAGCAGAAAAAGGGACUGACAUAGAUGGAUGAACAAAGAAAAGGGGUAAGGAACCCGUGACCCUCUCUUGUCUUCCAACGGAUCUUUGUGAAAAUUUUUGACUUGAGGAAGAGAACAAAAUAGCUUCAAGUAGCUCAUGAAACUUUCAUGAAAAUGGUUAAACAAAGUCAUGUGAUGGUGAGGAGAGGUACAAAAUCGAUCAAAAAAUGAAAAGGAAAGAAAGAGAUGUGGUUGUUGCUUCUUAGAAGAAACAAAUAUGACCUAAUUUAUUUUUUAGGCUUUGCUGUUAGGUGAGGGAAAGAAAUCAGUUGGGCCCUGUGAAUUGGGUUACUGUUCUGGGCCGAAAUGCAAGACUUUUAGGGGUGUUAAAAUUCAAACAACCUAUUUCAAUGGGCCGAAAUCAGUGGGUAUUUUGGACUUGGUUUGGAUUCCUUUCUUCUAUUUGAUGUGCUUCUUUAUUAGACUUAAUAAGUCUUCCGAAUGUAUUAUAU